ACGUCUUCGAUUUUUUAAGUGUUUGGUGGUUUCGAAAGACGAAACCUUUGUAAAUGUUUCAGUGAUCACUCGAGUUGCUAGAAAUAGCAGUCAAAUUUCCUGCGAAGUACAGCAUAUUAUAUUGCGUGUACUGCUGUCCUUCCAUACUUGCUACCGUUGUUUGUUACUCGAUUUCUCUCUCUCACACACACACAUACACACAAAAGUAUCACAUCGUAAUCGAUCGAGUGAUCAUUGCUAAACUCAAACUCCUUUUUGUGCCGAUUUCUCACUCUGAUGAAAUAUUCAACUCACAAUAUUCAAAAUGCAUCUUUGAUUUAUUAUUUGUAAUUUGAAUGAAUUGAAUAUGCAAUAGGUAAUUUGAAAUUGACAUUAUGUUAAUCAAUUGAUAUUUAACUAUCGAUCUCUCCAUUUUCUUCUUAUCCUAUACACACACACACACGAGAAGCGCAUCAUCAUCAUCAUUUAAUGUCCGCUUUCCAUGCUGGUAUGGAUUGGACGGCUUGACUGAGAACUCGCAAGCCAGAGGCUGUACCAGGCUCCAAUCUGAUCUGGCAGUGUUUCUACAGCUGGAUGCCCUUCCUAACGCCAACCACUCCAAGAGUGUAGUGGGUGCU